GUGAAUGACACAAAACUGCAAUACGCUAAAGUUAAAAGCUGCUGUUACAGAUUGUUUUUAGGGUCUUUUUCAUUCACAAAAAACAGCUUUCCUUAGGAUUGUGUCUGUCUGUCUUGCAGGUUCUUGUUGUAAUUACUCAAAUACUGUUUGUGUUUUGGUGUUACUCUUUGACUAUGAGUUCUGGAGCUAGGGGUUACCAGAUUUACAGUGUGAUCGGGGCAUUUUCUUUCCUCAAUUCAUUGGAGCUGUAGCAACUCUGAAGCAGUUAAACAACCCUCCACAACAGCUCAGGAAGACUGAAGGUCAGUGGGUGUCCCCUGAUUCCUAAUCCAAUCGUCUCUUUACAUCCAGGAUCUUGAGCGUGGAUGAGGAGGAACAGUCCCUGCUGAUUCCGGGUCCGUAACCCGUCGGUGUACCAGAGCCAAUGUCCCUGUGGAAUACCCAACAAAGACCAGCAACCCGGCACAGCCAGGGAACUGCGCUCCCCUGACUGCAUAACUCACCAUGCACACCACAUGGACAUGCCUUUACCAACAGUGAGGCAGACUGGCACACGGACGGCCUUCCUUGAGGUAUGAAAGAGAUGAGCUGGCUGCCCGGGGGCUGACCGCUCACACUGGUCAGUCUAAAGAAACUCCAUGUACCAGCGGAGCACAGCGCUCCACAAAUCCAAACAGCUUUGUAAAUAGUAUUUCUGACCCCUCUGCCAAGCAGGAAGAGCGAAGCAGUGUUACCAAGCCCUAGACACAACACUUACAUGAGCAUUGUAAACUAAACACAGAUGGGAGUCCCCUUGAGGCAGGCUGGGCUGCAGUGUUGCAGUUUUCUCCCUUGGAUUGUCUGUUUUUGAGUCAAAUGGAACACAAUAUUAACAGCUGAUAUGCAAUCCUAAAUUCUCAAAGAAACUCAAUAAAUUCAAAGAGAAACGUUUCUUUAGUAUUUCAGCACUGUUGAGUGUUUACAGUAAUGGAUGACAACCCUCAAUUCCUGUAAGAUUACUGGGUGCAUUGCAGUGUCUGGUAAGACAAGCACCUGCCUAAUUUCCCACUAUUGGCAAUUCGCCCCCUGUCAUACAUUUGCAGUGAAUAAACCAGCACACAUUCUGACCAGCACACACUGUUCAUUUAUGUUGCUUUACUAUUUAAAGAAAAGUUUCCCAUAAACUUUAAAAAAGAAAAUAGGUGAAAGCAGCCAUCCUAAAAUGUAUAAACCUGAUUUUCUUGCAGACUAUGAAUGAACUGUGUUUCAUGAACACUGUAUUAUCUGUAGGAGUUAAUAAAAAAGGCCUUUACAUCUGCAUCCUGACACAUUGUGGUUUUGCUCUCGUAUAGUGAACUUGGCUGUCUGAUCCCAGCUCCUGUGGAAUCGUGUCAAAGUUAAAGGUUAGGGUCUCUACCAGCAGCCUGAAAAUGAAUUACACAGCAGUCCAGUUAUGAGUCCAGGCCAAUUCACUGGGAACAUUCUGUUCAGGAACUUGGUAGAUUUGAGCUGUUUAAAAAGUUAACAAACACAGCCCUGGCUGUUUAGUUCAUUGUAUACAGUAGACAUCAGGGCCCCUCUGAUGAAGUGCAACACAGAGGAAUAGAGAGAGGAUGCAUCAUCCAGGCAGCACUGCAGACACAAGCCUGAUCGGGGGGUGCAAUGUACAGAUACCCACAGGGUCCAAUUUCAUAUUUCUGGCAGUUUUUAUCUCAUGUUUUCUCCAUUCUUUUAUAAGAAGUGCCUCCAUUCACUAUCUUUUAAAGAAACUUAUGUUUUAGCAAACCUGUAUUUUCAUUAUCUGGUACUACAGCAGGUUAACGAAUUAGCUGUUUGCUGGCCUUGCUUUCAGAUAGCCUUGCCCUUCAGGGCCUUCUUUCCUGUCAGUAACCAGCCAGCUGCUUCCCCUAAUGGUUGGCAUGCUUUGCAGCCAGUAAGAUGCAUGACCCAGGCGACACUUCUAAGGUUGACUGAUCUAGGAAGUUCAAGUGUCGGGCUUCCUAGAGAGCAAGGCAAACAAACUGAGAACUUCUUUAAGUAGUAACAGAUGGUUUUAAAUGAAAAGCUUGCAAUAUCGUGGUUGAGAUCGAUCUAGUGAAUGAAAGUGCACAGAUAAGAUUUAUGAAACUGUUUUGUCAGCUUGUGGCACGGUAGCGUCCCAGCCCAGAUGGUAUUGGCAAGAACAAAGACUCAGACACAGGAAGUUGCAGGUUAAACUGCGUUAAUGUGCUCUUUUAAUUCAAAUGAACAAAAAUAACACGGACAAAACGAAAGGCACAAGGGCCAAAACAAAAGGUUUUACACACACUCACAAAAAAACAGACAACACAGAACGGAACACGCAUCACGAUAUCAUCAACAUCAAUCCUAAUCCUCACUAACACCCGUCAACACAUAUCUUAUACACCUUCCCUGCCAACCUAAUAUUCCCCACGCAACAUACACCCGUGCAGCGGCAGGGCUUUCACUCUGCCACACUGCCACACAGCUACAGACACAUCUGAAGAAUAUUUUAAGACAUUUAAAGUGCCGUCUAAACUGACUAAAUAUGAGUACUUGUUUAAUAAUGUUGUUUAUCUCGGUGUGCACAUUGUAUCUGAAUAUGAGUACUUCUUAUUUCAAUCCGGCUCACCGCUGCCAACCCCACGCUGACUCGGGAGAGACGAAGACGGACACAUGCUGUCUUCCAAAAUGUGUGCUGUCAGGCGUCCACUUCUUUUCACUCUGCAGACCCGCCAUGCAGCCACCUCAGAGCUACAGCGUUGGAGGACCAUGCAGCUCUGAGCAGCUUACAGGCAAGCCCACAGGCGCCCGGCCAGUCUACAGGGAUCGCUGGUGCACGGUGAGCCAAGGACACCCUGGCCAACCUAAGCCUUCCCCACCCGGGGAGGCUCUCAGCCAAUUGUGCACUGUCCCCUGGGAACUCCCGUCCACGGUUGGCAGUGGAAUAGCCUGGACUCGAACUGGCGACCUCCAGGCUACAGGGCACAUCCAUGCGGUACUUGUUUAAUAAUGUUGUUUAUCUUAAUGUGUACGUUGCAUGUUUAUUUAAUUCAACUGGGUUUACCGGGAUUGUUUUUGUAACAAUGGAGACUGUAAAUAGAACUAUGGAUACUGAAAUUUACAGUGAAUGUGCUGCUGUAUUGGUUACAUAACUAAUACAGUCCUAUUCCACUUUUAAACUUUGUACCACAUCGCUGUGCCAGCUUGUUUUUACCUCUUCCCCUGACCCAUGUAAAUAUGACCAUCCUACCUCUAACACACUGUUUUCAAACAAACAUGGAACGAACUCAAUACAGUGGACAGAAUG